AUGCAGGAAGGGAGUCACUGGGUUCUGGGGAAAGUGCAUCAACAUUUUAUUAGAAGGAGGGUGUUGUCAUUUUCCAAGAUCCUUGAGGUGGGGAAUGUUGGCGGGAAAACCCAAGAAAGGAGGGGAGGAGGAGAGGACUGUGAGCGAAGAGCCAGCCCUGGUUGCUUGGAAUGCCAGGCAGCAGCCAGGAGAUGCCACCUUCCCUCCUGGGCAAGAAGGACACAGUUACCUGCCAGACUUGAGCGAAAGCACGCAGCAAAUGAAGUCUGACAUCUAUGAAACUUCCCAGACACGUAAUUCAGAGUAUGAGGUGUGAAUUUCACUACAGCAAAAUGAAGCACAAGACAAAGGAGUCCUUAAGAACCUCAGAUGAUGCCACUGGAGCCGAUUUCAAUAUUUACCCCUGACUGGAGUCUGGUGGGUAUCCCCUUUCUGCCUCCUUUCCAUUUGCCUGUACUUUGUCUUAAAGUCUCUCCUUCGCUCUACUAUGAAAGGGCUCCAGAAAAUGUCUUCUGUCAGGACAACUUUCAC
rnacentral:lncRNA from 1 species